rnacentral:rRNA from 1 species
UACGUAGGGUGCAAGCGUUAAUCGGAAUUACUGGGCGUAAAGCGUGCGCAGGCGGUUAUAUAAGACAGUUGUGAAAUCCCCGGGCUCAACCUGGGAACUGCAUCUGUGACUGUAUAGCUAGAGUACGGUAGAGGGGGAUGGAAUUCCGCGUGUAGCAGUGAAAUGCGUAGAUAUGCGGAGGAACACCGAUGGCGAAGGCAAUCCCCUGGACCUGUACUGACGCUCAUGCA